GAUGAACGCUGGCGGCGUGCCUAAUACAUGCAAGUCGAGCGAACAGACGAGGAGCUUGCUCCUCUGACGUUAGCGGCGGACGGGUGAGUAACACGUGGAUAACCUACCUAUAAGACUGGGAUAACUUCGGGAAGCCGGCGCUAAUACCGGAUAAUAUAUUGAACCGCAUGGUUCAAUAGUGAAAGUCGGUUUUGCUGUCACUUAUAGAUGGAUCCGCGCCGCAUUAGCUAGUUGGUAAGGUAACGGCUUACCAAGGCAACGGUGCGUAGCCGACCUGAGAGGGUGAGCGGGCACACUGGAAUUGAGACACGGUCCAGACUCCUACGGGAGGCAGCAGUAGGGAAUCUGGCGCAAUGGGCGAAAGCUUGACGGAGCAAGGCCGCGUGAGUGAUGAAGGUCUUCGGAUCGUAAAACGCUGUUAUUAGGGAAGAACAAAUGUGUAAGUAACUAUGCACGUCUUGACGGUACCUAAUCAGAAAGCCACGGCUAACUACGUG
rnacentral:rRNA from 1 species